ensembl:lncRNA
AUUUCCAGUGCUGUUUCUGUUAUUAGUGGCAAUCAGAUGGAGAAGUUUUGCUUUUUCUCCCCCCCACCCCUCCCCAAAUUCCUCUGGGCGGUGGGGGAGAGCUGAUGCUUUUCUGUUUGACAGCCCCCGAUGGAUUAUCCCCAGUGCAGGGGAUGGGCAGCGCUUGGUGCAGGACCUCAGGGGCAGUUCUGCGCCCACGUGUGGCUUUCCUACCCUGAGAGGCACCCUUGAAGAUGAGCAGAUGCUUAUGGACAAACCACCCAGGAAAUGGGGUCUGGAAGAGCCAGCAGAACCCACGAGUGUAUCCAGCCCUACGUGCCAUGAGGGUAAGUCAGCCCUAUUGGGAAAUAUGGGGCCUACCCAGCAGGUGAGUGGC